rnacentral:lncRNA from 1 species
GCACUAGGUAAGACGUGCACCUGGGCUGGCAGGAAGGGUCAGUGUUUGUGUAGGCACCCCAGUGAAGCGAUAGGUGGGGUUUUGUCUUCAGCAGAUGUGUGCAAUAAUUAAUCCUGUGAAGGCUUAGAAACCAGAAAAAUGUCUGCAGCAGGACACGGAGUGGGAAUGCUUUUAAUAUGCUCUUGAUAGGUGCUGGUGAUUUUUUAACUGUAUUGAAUUAUUUAGAUGGAGCCUUUUGGUCCUCCAGGAUCUGUGCUGAAAGUGCUGUGGUAGGCAUUAUUCCUCCGAUUUGAGCAAUGACCUUGCAAGUGAGGAACAACUGCCUGUUACAGCUUAUUGCCAUAGGUAAAAUCGUUCUGGCAAGCACAAGAUAAAAAGAAGAGCAUCUUAGUAGUAAUAUCACUUGCGACAGCGCGUUGUUUACAGGUUUAAUGAUCGCUUGCAGAUCAAUGUACAUUGCAGGAAGUCUCGUUCAUCGCAGUUUUGACUUGAUCAUUACCCUGUGGCAAGUUCUCCACACCUUUCUGACAACCAUCUGCACCCCCCCAGCAGUUUCCUUUGAGCAGUGCCUCCAUGAUGCGACCACCUCACACCUCCCUCUGGAAAGCCUUUGA